rnacentral:rRNA from 1 species
UUUGAUGGGCGAAAGCUGAUCAGUCAUACGCGUGUGUGAAGAAGGCCUGAGGGUUGUAAAGCACUUUCAAUAGGAAGGAAUACCUAUCGGUUAAUACCCGGUAGACUGACAUUACCUAUACAAGAAGCACCGGCUAACUCCGUGCCAGCAGCCGCGGUAAUACGGAGGGUGCAAGCGUUAAUCGGAAUUACUGGGCGUAAAGCGUGUGUAGGCGGUUAUCUAAGUCAGAUAUGAAAGCCCUGGGCUUAACCUGGGAACUGCAUUUGAUACUGGAUGACUAGAGUUGAGUAGAGGAGAGUGGAAUUUCAGGUGUAGCGGUGAAAUGCGUAGAGAUCUGAAGGAACACCAGUGGCGAAGGCGGCUCUCUGGACUCAAACUGACGCUGAGGUACGAAAGCGUGGGUAGCAAACAGGAUUAGAUACCCUGGUAGUCCACGCCGUAAACGAUGUCAACUAACCGUUGGGUUCUUUAAGAACUUAGUGGUGGAACUAACGUAUUAAGUUGACCGCCUGGGGAGUACGGCCGCAAGGCUAAAACUCAAAUGAAUUGACGGGGGCCCGCACAAGCGGUGGAGCAUGUGGUUUAAUUCGAUGCAACGCGAAGAACCUUACCUACCCUUGACAUGUAGCGAAUCCUUUAGAGAUAGAGGAGUGCCUCGGGAACGCUACACAGGUGCUGCAUGGGUGUCGUCAGCUCGUGUCGUGAGAU